GGCAGGCCACCGCCCAAUCGUCGCGAGACGAACCGGGGAACCAGGUCACUGGGGUGUAUCCGCAGUUGCGGUAGGGAUUGCUUCCGUCCCGAACCCGUCAGCUAACUCGGUCGGCGGAGUCACGGAAGGAACU
rnacentral:sRNA from 1 species